GUCCGUAUCGAUUAGGGGUUAAAUCACUUCGUUGUGGUCUGUACGAUAAUUCCGAAGAGCCGCUGGUUCGAUUCCAGCUACGGACA